GCAGCUCUGAUGCUGGCUCACCUAGGAUCUAUUUUGGGGUGUGAAGAAGAGACUGGAGCUCCGAUCACCGGAGGAGUUUUCAGAGACCCGAGAUGAGAUCUGCGUCCAGCUGCAUUGGCUGCUGUACAUACAAAAUGUUUGAGUCCUCUGCCUGUGAUCUUCCAAGGGGGAUAAAAUGUGGUGCUCUGCCCUGUGCAGGAGGGCGUCAGAGGUGAUGUACAAGGCCAAGAUGGGAAUCCAGCCCUGUGUUGCAGGAGCGAUGCAAAGUCCGUGACAUCUCAUGGAGGUUGUCCUGAGUCUGGAAAGUGCAUCGGGAACUGGAGGACGGGGCGAUGCUGAGCCCAAAGAGCUGACGGAGCCUUGCUCCGGGUCUGCGCCGCCCCGAGGAUGGGGCUAAAGAGGUUGGGAUUUAGUGGCAUUUGGGAUGUCAACAUUUCUUUGCUCGGGGACAAGGAGCCAAAGCCCAACUGGAUUUCCUACUGCAAGUUCAAAUCUAGCUGGUGCCAGUUCUGAAUAGUGCUGGGUUGGGGCUUCAUCAGCCAAAAUACAUGCAAGCUGUCCUCCCAGACAGCUGGACUGGUGGUACUUUUAUGCUGUUUUUUUUAUUCUUGCUAACUUUUCUGUUGGAAAACAAGUCCCAUAUUUCACGUCUCCCAUUAUUCAGGAUGCUUGAUGCAUCUGGCCACGUCUUCCAGCUUUUGCUACGUGCAGUCUGCGGGUCGAGGUGGGAUGCACGGGGCUUCGCGCUUCCUCUGCCGUGCUCCGGUCUUCUGAGACUGGUAAAACAUCAGCGCUGGGGGGUUACACGUGCAGACUGCAGGUAUGCAUGGAAGGGCAGUUUGUGUUAAAUUGCACCAGAUUAAAGCAUUUCGGUUUGGAAACCCUUGCUCUGGUUUAAUUUCGUGGGGUUCUGUGCUCUGUUAAACUCGGUUGCUAUGACACGGUUAGGGGAGCUCACUGCCUUUGAAACUAGAAGAGAUCACUCUGAUUAUUUAAUCUGACCUCCCAUGAGGCGUAAAGCUUUCCCCCAUCAUUGCCCCAAGCCCACAUUUCUGUCUGAGCUCUUGCAUACGUUGCAUCUUCA